rnacentral:rRNA from 1 species
GACGAACGCUGGCGGCGUGCCUAAUACAUGCAAGUAGAACGCUGAAGAGAGGAGCUUGCUCUUCUUGGAUGAGUUGCGAACGGGUGAGUAACGCGUAGGUAACCUGCCUUGUAGCGGGGGAUAACUAUUGGAAACGAUAGCUAAUACCGCAUAACAAUAGGCGACACAUGUCAUUUAUUUGAAAGGGGCAAUUGCUCCACUACAAGAUGGACCUGCGUUGUAUUAGCUAGUAGGUGAGGUAACGGCUCACCUAGGCGACGAUACAUAGCCGACCUGAGAGGGUGAUCGGCCACACUGGGACUGAGACACGGCCCAGACUCCUACGGGAGGCAGCAGUAGGGAAUCUUCGGCAAUGGGGGCAACCCUGACCGAGCAACGCCGCGUGAGUGAAGAAGGUUUUCGGAUCGUAAAGCUCUGUUGUAAGUCAAGAACGAGUGUGAGAGUGGAAAGUUCACACUGUGACGGUAGCUUACCAGAAAGGGACGGCUAACUACGUG